UUAUGUAAUCAAUUUACCAUAGGAACUUACUGAACUAAGUGAAGACAUGGAAUGCCUACAGGGAAUUUCUUGGUAGAGGAAAACAAGAAAACAAGUAAUAUCAGACUGAAAUUUUCAGCCAGGUGGUCAUAUGUUCCUAUAGUUCAGAUGUCAUUUUUGCAAAUUAACUACAAACAUUUACCCUUCUACCAUCAUUCACUUCCAUUUUUGCCAAAUCUUAAAACAUUUUUUUCCCCAAAAAAGAAAACACAUCAUGAGCAUCACUCAGUACUCACCCCAAAAUACUUACAGUUCAACUUUACAUGCGUACUUCAGACUACUGUUCUUUCAGAAAACACCAUUCCCUGUAGCAGUGAGACUCUUAAAUACAUGCUACUGACUAAAAGCAGACAGACAUAAACAAGAACCUUCCUUAAGAUGCUCAUUUCUAAUCUUCAUAAUCACGAAACAUUUUACUCUACACAAGUGUGUAUCUAGAUAAAUCUAUAAUCAACUAGACUUAUAACUACCGACUCCUCAAAACUUCUUAACAGAAUACUGUUUGGAAAGUCUAUCGACUUUCACCUACCGACAGAAAAGUAGAAAAUCUCUUUUAAUAAGGAGUUCUCAUGCUAGAUAUUUCUGUUCCUAUUAUCUAAAGCUAAUGAUUCCUUUGUCUGAAACGUAUCCUUUCUUUACAUGUCAAACACUUUUUUGUAGAUGAUUGUCAUCAAAGAACAUAAGAAAAAUUAGGUGACUAAAGUUGAAAAUAGGAGUAAUAAAAGACAAGGGUCAAAUGGCAGUGAUUAAUACCAUAGUGAUAUUUACCUUUAUUUGCUAUUAACAAUAAAUUUCCUUUGACUUUGCUUUACAGAUUCUAUGCAAAAUGGAACACACAUAAGAGAAAAAAAUAUGGGAUCUGCAGAAAAUGCAAGCUGACAAAACAUUAAAACAAACAUGAUAGAGAUAGCAACAGGAAGAUGGAAAGAACAACACUCUUAUUUUCACAGGUGACCACUAACUUAUAAAGGACCUCAGAAAGAAGAGCAACUACUUGUUCUCACUCACAUUCCAUGACAGUAAGACCCCACUUUCCUGUGGGGAGCAGGUGUAGCUAUCACCUCCCUUUUGGCAGUUUGUUUCAGCCAAGGAGUUAUUACUGCAGCUGUUCAGCUGACAGCAAUUACCACUGGCAAUGGUUGUUAUAUGUGGAUCUCACCUUCUAAAGAUUUCCUCCCAAGAGAGUUGAUGUGCUG
ensembl:lncRNA